ACUCAACUUUCUUUCCAUUCCCUCUCUACAGGCCUCUUUCCAAAAGUCUGCGCUAGUUCAGGAACCGCUUGUGGGGCGGGGGGCGGACCUUGGGGGGAGAAACCCAUCGCAAGGCCCGGACUGGAAACACAGACGAGAGGAGCGCCUUCCUUUCAGCAAACGGACAGGAGGGAGAGAACCGUCCCCCCACCUGCCCAACCGCCACUUGUAGCCGAGGCUGGGCAAAGGCGCCGCUCACUUCUGAGGGGAGCCCCCCCUCCCCACCAAAGUGUGAGGGAUGGGAGGCCGAAACCUCUUGUCUUUGCCCAAGGCACCCUACUCCGCCUCGCCUCCUCGAGCCCCAUUUACAGCCGGGUGCCCCCCACCCCUCCCCGGCUGCCCCUUCACAGCUGAACUCACCAGCCGCCGCCGCUCACUCCGAAAAGUUCUCCUCCCGCCGCCAUUUUGACGCUUCCUCCCCUGCCUGCCGCGGGUACGGGGAGCGCGAGGGCUCAAAAAGGCGACGCGUCCGGAGGGCGUUCGGGCGGGCCAGGCUGCUGACAGACAAGGAAUCCCGGACGCCAGAGCAGCUUCUGAGCUGAGCGGCGUCGCUUUCCCACCCGCAGCCAACGGAGUCGCCUCUGUGGGACCCUUUUCCAGACGUCGCUUACAAGCCCUGGAGAAGAUUGCCUGGGGGGAGACACGCCCUGGCUGUGUUUGCUUUUUUUACAGGCGUCUCCCGCUGCAAAGGGAGGCGUCGUUGUCCUGGGCUGGCAGCGGGCGGAGUGGCUCCCCCAGCACGGUCCCCAACCUGAUCAAAACAGGGGCUUUCGGUAAGACGUCGUUGGCCUCUGGGCAUGGGCAGAGUGCCUUCCAACUUGCUGAGGUGCUGCAAAGCUCUGAAGGUUGCCGUCAAAGGAAGAGAAGGGCUCCUGAAGGCAGGUACACCCCAGUUCAUCUAGAGAAGGGUUUCCCAAAAUGGGAUCUCCAGCUGAUUUCGCACUACAGUUCCCAUCAUCCAUGACCACUGGUCCUGCUGGAUAGGGAUGGUCCGGAAGCAGCUGGAGACCCGAGUCUGGGAAACCCUGAUCUAGAGGCUAUAUAGGUGGCAGGCUGGCCCAAGAUAUUUUGAAGCCAAGGGUGGAUAUUGCUUGACUGUAACUUAACUGAGCACCAAGAGCCUUGGGCCACUUGGUCUGCACACCCUGGUGGACAAGAGGCCACCUCUCACACAAUCCAAACGAAAUAAUCUGUGGCAUGUUCUAGCCAACCAAAACGGUAGCAUCACAUGUUCGCACAUUCUAUCUUAACAGCUCUUCCUUGAGAACAAGUUUGCUGCUGUCAUAACAAUGGCCAAUUCUGGGCACAGGCAGUAUAAAUGCUUAAGAACUCAACUAAUUUUAGAAAAGAUGGUUUAUUUACAUUGGGUGCGAACAGUAUUUAUAGGGGAGAUAUCUGAAGAACACCUCUGUUUAAUUCUAUACCUUUGCAAAGUGGUAGCGGCCUUAAUUUGGUGCAUCAAAGACCAAAGCUCUUUAGUAAAAUUGGUGCUGGAAGUCGCUUUGUUAUUUAAUAUCUGUUAUUGCUAUUUAAGUUGCACAAGUUACAGGCUAGUAAUUGCAACCUUUAAAAAGGGGAAAUGAUUAAGAUUGUGAAAGUGACAAGUUAAAACAAUUCUCAAAAUAUUUCAUUCUAAACAAUUCAUUGUAAAUAGGAACGCAAACUCAGUGGUAAGCGUCAGUGAUGAAUUCAUAUGUUCUACUACUUUUUUUUUGGAAAUAAAUAAGUGCACAAAGAGUGCUAAAUAUUUUUAUCUGCUAUAUAUGAACCAAAAUAUAUUAGAAGUGGAUAAGCCUUAAUCUCUAAGUGAGUGUAUAAUGAUUGAUAUGGGUAAUAUACAUGUUAUUUUAAUUAUAUACUAAAAAUUAUAAAGUUUCCUACAGUUGAUGUUUAAAUAUUAUUUAAAUCAGGUAUAUUAAAAAUAAAUAAAUUGGUGGGACCAGAGCAAGGCACUAUUAGAUUGAUGAAGUAGGCCCUUUUUCCCAGUUCUGAAUAGCUCUAAAACAUUUCUGAAGAUUAUGUAUAAAAUCUGGUAUAAAUAUACAGAUUAUUAUGGUUUGUGAUAAAAUGCUGCACUCACACUGUAUACUUAGCAACAAGUUAAUCACUGCAGUAGUGUCCUCACAUAGCCAAGAGCAAACUGGGCAAUAUAGCACACACCAAGCAAUACUUAAAUGCUGUUUGCGUACCUUCUUUUAGUGUGCUCACAAAAAAACUUAGAUGAAAUGAAAACACAAAUGCAAUUUUUUUGUGCUACACAUUCUUCCUUGCGUUGACCUGGAUUCCUUUAUUAUUGUUAACCCUAAAACUCCCCAGAUUUACACAGCUUUCUCUGUAUUUCUAGUGCGAUUCCAGUAACAAGUCCAUUUAAAAUAAAAUGUGCCUGCAAAUAUUACUUGGGGGUGGUUAAUUGCUCCAAAAGAUUUGUUCACAUUAGGGCAAUUGGGAAAAUAAUAAAGUGAUUCCUCUACUGAAGGAUCCACAACACUUUCACCAAGCCAUCAGAUAUUACUGGCCAACUUCUACCAUUAAAAGUUUUAAACCAUUUCACUUACAUACAUCAUGACUUGAAUUUCAGGAUCUGAAUGAAUGAUAAAACAUUAACAUGCACUAUAUAACAGAAAUGCACCUAUGCUUAGGAAGUCCUAGGGACCUUCUGCUAAUAUUAAACUGCACAACUUGCACAUUUGAGAAGUAUAUAUUUGGAAUGAGAGAAAAGGUAGCACCAGCAAGGCAGCUUUACCUACUCCCAACACACACAAAAACACCCUAGGAAGCUUUUAAAUAAUGAAAAGGAACAUCUAGCAUUAGAUGUAGGAAACCUUUACCUGCCUAUGCAGCAACUAUUCUUGGUUCAAUGGAUAAUCAAACUAGGGCGUGAUGCUUCUGAGUGCCAACUGCCACUCUACAAGAUAGCAGUUAUGACAAGCAGUAUGACAGGCAAUCACCCUGUUGUCACAGAUGCAGCCCACCCAUAACCUACUUUUGCCUGUGGAAUUAAGUGAGUGAGUGGCCGGCCAAAUCUGGGCCUGAGGCUGUGCCACAAAGCCUUCAGAGGGAUCACACUGUCCUUUUCAGAAGGUAAGAAGAAACCUUACAAUUAAUCUGGUUUUCUUUUAAACAUAAAUUCCCUAUGGUUACUUGCAGUCAAAUCUGAACAUUUAUAGGUUUUUUUUUAAUGUUACAUGCAAGAGGUACAAAAAAAAAAAAACAACAUGUUUACAAAGCAACACCACACUGUAUGAAAGUUGUGUACAAAAAAUACCUAACAGUAUGCGAGAUGUCAGUUUUGUGAAACAUUAGUGUGACAUUUUGGUGGGAGUGUAAAACUUGUACACAUUUUUAAACACACAGAAAUCCCUUUCAAGCUGUGUAGUGGCACUCCUGAAAUGGCAGCUGACUGCUUAACACGAGGCCAACAUUUAUUGAAACUGCCAUUUUAUUUAUUUUUAAAUAUAUUUUAUUGAUUUUUCAUUUUAUGAAACUACAGAAACUAUUGGGUCUUUUGUCUGUUGGUUUAUAUAUUUCAACUUGAACCCACAUUCAGACAUGUGAAUACAAAUGCCUUUAAUCUGAUAUGGAAGCUAGAUAUAGGAGUCCAAAAAUUCUGGUGCAGUUUAAAAAAUGUUGGUGCAGUUAAUAAAACAGAUUUUGUUUAAAAGGAAACAGUUCCACCCAGGAUUAGAUUUGUGAAAACAAGUUAUACUUCAUUUUUCUAUCUGCCACCAAAGAAACCAGUUUCUUAGCUUGUGAACUUCAGAAUUUUAAAAAAAGAUUUAUUAUGCAGAUUAUUCAUCUGGCCCUCCAAAACAAUAGAGUGCCUUUAUUUGUUUUCAUUCAUAGCUGCGGGAAAAACUUACAAAUUACAUUAAUAAAAAUAUGUAGGAUUAUAAUGAGGCUCAAUUCAAUACUUUGCUGAUUUCAUGCAUCAGAGACUUCUGGAAGGGACUAUUAUGCAGCUUUGUACUGAACUACUUCAAUGCAAAAUAUUUGUAACACAAAAUACUAUGAAAAACUGUAGUGUGGGCAAUGAUGUUAGUGUAAUUAAAAAAUGGCAAGGAUAUUGUACCUUGGAAGUUAACAAAAAUAAUAAUAAUCCCAUAUUUUAAAUCUACCAUUAUAUAUGUGUGUGUUACAUAUCAUUCCAACAGCAUCAGGGACAAGAGAAUCUAAUCUCUUGCUGAAAUGUUCUAAUUGCAGUAUUAAAGACAAGU
rnacentral:lncRNA from 1 species